GCCACCGUAGCUCAAUUGGUAGAGCAUCGGGUUUCACAACCCGGAGAUGCAGGUUCGAAUCCUGCCGGUGGAA
rnacentral:tRNA from 1 species